rnacentral:lncRNA from 1 species
GCUAACAGUCAGUCUUUGUGAAAUGUCUGAUAACCACUAAUCUCAUUUCUUAUAAAAAAGGUUGAAGCAAGGAGUCACUAGCCCCGCCAAGGUCACACAUACCCAAGUCUGGAUCACAAUUUAGGUUUGGCUUUGCUGUGAGCCAGCCUUUCAAACAAACUGCUUUGAACUACUGUAGUGAUGAGUUAUUGUUGGGAUUUGUGUGUUUUGCUGACACAUUAUAUAAUAUUUCUUAUAAAAAUUGUUGCACCUUUAAAAUAAUAUGCAUUCCCUUUUAAUUUUGAAGGAAAUAAAUCACUAAAAUUAUUUCAUAAGAGGAAGCAUCAAGAUGAGGUGUUACAGCUGAAGAACAAAAACGCUGAUGACACACAGCAUUGAUGAAAUGCACAAGAAUGGACAAUUCAUUCCAAAAUUUCUUUGAAAGUUUUUGAUGUUUUCAGCUCCGCUGCAGACUGAGAACGCAAACAAGGACAGCGCGCAUGCCAGAUUUCUGGAAGCACACGGCACAAGACACCGCUCAGGGCACGCAGCGAGGAAUUCUGGAGCAGAAGACGUAGCACAACUCUUCCACGUUCUUUCAAGAAGUAUCAUAUUUAUUAUGUUUACUUAGAAAUUUAAUUCUAUUUGGGGAGAGAUGGGGAGACAGGGAAGUUGUUUCUCAAACAUCAAGGAUUGCCCACCUUGCCUCCAGUUUUGUCUUUAUGCCAUUUCAAGUGUCCGAUCAACAAAAGGUACUUGACCAAAGAUUCCAUUCAACUUCAAUACUUCUGUUUUAGGUCAGUGAAGCACUGAAGCAAGUGCCAAAGAAAUAACCUCAGACAAACUGAAAAGUUUCACAAAUGUAUAGACUUUAGGCAUGCAAAAAUUUACCUAAGUAUUCAUAUAUAGGAGAGCAAAAAGGGCAUUUGCACUUGUAAGCUGCCCAGUGUCUGUGGGGGCCACAGUCAUCAUGGGGCAGUCUACAUGCAUUGGCUAGUUUCUUAAAUAAAUAAAUGCAGCUUUUCUUACCUAAUAAGCCA